GACGAACGCUGGCGGCGUGCCUAAUACAUGCAAGUCGAACGAGAGCGACCGGUGCUUGCACUGGUCAAUCUAGUGGCGAACGGGUGAGUAACACGUGGGUAACCUGCCCAUCAGAGGGGGAUAACAUUCGGAAACGGAUGCUAAAACCGCAUAGGUCUUCGAACCGCAGGGUUUGUAGAGGAAAAGCGGCGCAAGCUUCUGCUGUUGGAUGGACCCGCGGUGCAUUAGCUAGUUGGUGAGGUAACGGCUCACCAAGGCCGUGAUGCAUAGCCGACCUGAGGGGGUGAUCGGCCACAUUGGGACUGAAACACGGCCCAAACUCCUACGGGAGGCAGCAGUAGGGAAUCUUCCGCAAUGGACGCAAGUCUGACGGAGCAACGCCGCGUGAGUGAAGAAGGUUUUCGGAUCGUAAAACUCUGUUGUUAGAGAAGAAUAAGUGCUAGAGUAACUGUUAGCGCCUUGACGGUAGCUAACCAGAAAGCCACGGCUAACUACGUG
rnacentral:rRNA from 1 species